UACCCGCGGCCCGAGUGGUGCUCAUUAUUAUUGAGCUUAAAGCGUCCGUAGCCGGCCUUGUAAAUCUUUGGGUAAAUCGGGCAGCUCAACUGUUCGAAUUCCGAGGAGACUGCAAGGCUCGGGACCGGGAGAGGUUCGAGGUACUCUCGGGGUAGGGGUAAAAUCCUGUAAUCCUGAGAGGACCACCAGUGGCGAAGGCGUCGAACUAGAACGGAUCCGACGGUGAGGGACGAAGCCCUGGGGCGCAAACGGG
rnacentral:rRNA from 1 species